CCGGAGAAUGUUAUCACGGGAGACACACGGCGGGUGCUAACGUCCGUCGUGAAGAGGGAAACAACCCAGACCGCCAGCUAAGGUCCCAAAGUCAUGGUUAAGUGGGAAACGAUGUGGGAAGGCCCAGACAGCCAGGAUGUUGGCUUAGAAGCAGCCAUCAUUUAAAGAAAGCGUAAUAGCUCACUGGUCGAGUCGGCCUGCGCGGAAGAUGUAACGGGGCUAAACCAUGCACCGAAGCUGCGGCAGCGACGCUUAUGCGUUCGUUGGGUAGGGGAGCGUUCUGUAAGCCUGUGAAGGUGGCCUGUGAGGGUUGCUGGAGGUAUCAGAAGUGCGAAUGCUGACAUAAGUAACGAUAAAGCGGGUGAAAAGCCCGCUCGCCGGAAGACCAAGGGUUCCUGUCCAACGUUAAUCGGGGCAGGGUGAGUCGACCCCUAAGGCGAGGCCGAAAGGCGUAGUCGAUGGGAAACGGGUUAAUAUUCCCGUACUUGGUGUUACUGCGAAGGGGG
rnacentral:rRNA from 1 species